GCGAGAUAUCCAAAUGUGCAAUUAGAGAAUGAAUUGUCAUUUAUGCUCUAAUGUGGACUAGAUCAAUCAUCAUCAUAGGGACCACAUUUGGGAAUAAUUAACAUAAAUAGGGACUAGAUUGAACAACUUUCAUUCAUUACAAAACAAAGAGCCAUAUCACCAUUUUCUUCAACCUUUAGCCCAACCAAAAAUCGAAACCCUACUUUCUUUCUAGCCACCUAACCCUAGUGUCGCCACACCUAAACCCUCAGGCCGCCACCGCAAUUAUAAUCCCAAAGACUCCAAAAACUUUCAUACAAAGUGACCAUAAUCACAUUCACACACCCUUUUCAUCAAAACUCUGUCAACGGUUUCAAUCACAGCAUCAACAACUCUAACUUUACAAUUGAAGAGAACCAACAAGGAAAAAGAGGAAACUUGGACAUUGUUCACGAACUUGGGUUAGUAAAAACUUUAACUUGUUGGGAGAAAUAAAGAAGAAUGGGAAGCAGACAUGGCUCAUUAACCAACAAGGUUGGGAAGAAGAUUGGGAAGAUGAUUGCUUAACCUCCAACGUCACUAUAACUUUCACAGAACAUAAAUAAAAACCCUAAUUUGAGAAUCCACUCU
rnacentral:lncRNA from 1 species